rnacentral:rRNA from 1 species
CAGUAGCGGCGAGCGAACGGGGAGGAGCCCAGAGCCUGAAUCAGUGUGUGUGUUAGUGGAAGCGUCUGGAAAGGCGCGCGAUACAGGGUGACAGCCCCGUACACAAAAAUGCACAUGCUGUGAGCUCGAUGAGUAGGGCGGGACACGUGGUAUCCUGUCUGAAUAUGGGGGGACCAUCCUCCAAGGCUAAAUACUCCUGACUGACCGAUAGUGAACCAGUACCGUGAGGGAAAGGCGAAAAGAACCCCGGCGAGGGGAGUGAAAAAGAACCUGAAACCGUGUACGUACAAGCAGUGGGAGCACGCUUAGGCGUGUGACUGCGUACCUUUUGUAUAAUGGGUCAGCGACUUAUAUUCUGUAGCAAGGUUAACCGAAUAGGGGAGCCGAAGGGAAACCGAGUCUUAACUGGGCGUUAAGUUGCAGGGUAUAGACCCGAAACCCGGUGAUCUAGCCAUGGGCAGGUUGAAGGUUGGGUAACACUAACUGGAGGACCGAACCGACUAAUGUUGAAAAAUUAGCGGAUGACUUGUGGCUGGGGGUGAAAGGCCAAUCAAACCGGGAGAUAGCUGGUUCUCCCCGAAAGCUAUUUAGGUAGCGCCUCGUGAAUUCAUCUCCGGGGGUAGAGCACUGUUUCGGCAAGGGGGUCAUCCCGACUUACCAACCCGAUGCAAACUGCGAAUACCGGAGAAUGUUAUCACGGGAGACACACGGCGGGUGCUAACGUCCGUCGUGAAGAGGGAAACAACCCAGACCGCCAGCUAAGGUCCCAAAGUCAUGGUUAAGUGGGAAACGAUGUGGGAAGGCCCAGACAGCCAGGAUGUUGGCUUAGAAGCAGCCAUCAUUUAAAGAAAGCGUAAUAGCUCACUGGUCGAGUCGGCCUGCGCGGAAGAUGUAACGGGGCUAAACCAU